rnacentral:lncRNA from 1 species
CCUGAGCCCAAGGCACACGCUCAACCACUGAGCCACCUAGGUGCUCCGGAGGGUGAACUUCUUUACAGAAUUUCCUAACAACUGGCACCUCAGGAAAACAAAACAAAACAAAACAAAACAAAACAAAACAAAACAAAACAAAACAAAAACCCGGGAUCCCUGGGUGGCGCAGCGGUUUAGCGCCUGCCUCUGGCCCAGGGCGCAAUCCUGGAGACCCGGGAUCGAAUCCCAUGUCGGGCUCCCGGUGCAUGGAGCCUGCUUCUCCCUCUGCCUGUGUCUCUGCCUCUCUCUCUCUCUCUGUGACUAUCAUAAAUAAAUAAAAAUAAAAAUAAAAACAACCCACCCAGCAUGAGGUCGGGCCUACGGAGAGGUGAGAAAUCAAGGUGUAGGGGUCCCUAGGUGAUAGUGCUUCUCAGUCCACCUCAGGGCUACGAAAACAGAAGCAAGGACUCCAGGAGAUAUAUUUAAAACUGAGUGCAUCUUUGACUCUCUUCCAUAGCCAUCUUUCUUGGCCUAAAGGAACUCAGAAGGGAGUCCCGGCUCCAAAUAUGCUAUCGUGGCCUACAUGGCUUUCUCACAGGGUGUCUUAAGCUACUUUGUUUUCCUACAAGCCCCCGGAACUGUGCCCAUUAAGGAGCGCAGGGGUCAGCAACCUGCAGAGCCCAGAGGUGUUAGUAUCCAAGUUCAUCCUGUCUUUCCCGCGGCUCCAAGGUAGGGGAAGGUCUGGGUGUCCACCAGGCGGCCUCGCCAAGGAGGAACUUGGCACAAAUUCUCCAGCUCGCAGGGAGAGCGGGCAAAAGCCAGCAAGCCGGAGUACGAAGAGCGCCCCCGUGGGAGGCGGGAGCUGAGGCUGCCACCGAGCCACCCGCCUUUGCCCCCAAACCCAGGGCAGAGGGGCUGCGGGGACCGGUACGGCCCCCGAACCGAGCUGGAGCUGCCGGGAGGAAAGUCAGGUCCCCUCUGCGCUCCGGGUUCGCCCCCCGCCCCCCGCCCGCGGGGAAGAUGCCCCGGGCCCCGGCACGCAGCGGCGGGGGCUCCUCCCCGCGGGGAAGAUGCCCCGGGCCCGGGUCGCGGAAGGGCGGGCGUGGCCCAGGGAAUCCCGCGAAGCCGCCCCAGCGCCUGCCGGCGGGGCGCCCCGGGCUUUCCCCGCCGCCGGGUGCGCGGCGCCCGCCCGGCGCGGACCCUCCUGCCCCGCGGAGCGCGAGCCCCGGAGCCAAGCAGUCGCGCCGGUGGACAUGCCUGCCUCGGAGGGCCACCGCCGCGGCUGACCCUCCCGCAGCUCAUCCUUCGGAGGAUCGUGGCUCC